rnacentral:tRNA from 1 species
CGUAGCUCAAUCGGAUAGAGCAGCGGAUUUCUAAUCCGCAGGUUACAGGUUCGAGUCCUGUCG